UCCUCGCUACUGACCUCCGCAGCCAUCAUUUUCGUUAAAUACGUAGAGGGGAAUAAGUCGAGAAGGGAACCUGCCCUUCCCCUCUAGUCUUGCAGCACCCCCUCACUGUUUGGGUUGGUAAAAACAACACCAAAAGUUUAUUGGAAAACAACACGUUUACGGUAGCCAGUUAGCGCUUAGCUAAUAACGCAAACUCGUUAGCUAAACUCUAGCCAAAGCUAGUUACCUACAUUAGCUAGCUAUGAAGACACGAGUUUUCAUGAGUUUAAAGUUCUGCUAGAAUUGCGGUUUUGAAAAUAACGUUUAAAUACCUGAAGGGAGAGGCAGAUGACGUAUUUUAUUCCUUUUUUUCCCUAGUCCUGCCUGCUCCCUCGGCAGCCACCAGUCUACUUGUCGGUAAGUAUUGUUUUAUUGUCACUGCCUGUGUGUGAAAUCCUGUAUUGUGCUGUUGUUGUUUUGCUCCUACGGAGAUCCCAAAUGUCUUAGUAUGCCACCACAAACGGCCCCCUCUGUCGCCUGAACCCCUGGUGGACUUCGUUUAACCGAUGUAGCCCACCAACUGAGUCUGUUCCCACUCAAUGAUGACUUCUCCAAUCACUCAGGGUAUGAAAAGGAGGUCCUUAGCCCUGGUGACGAAGGCUGCUGCAGGUACAGGACUACCUGUGUCUUUAGUUAAGAACUGGAUUGGUAACUAUGGGUGUUCACUUAAUACCUCCUGCAACACCCGGCGUCGCAAAGCUGCUGGUUAUAAGCGCGGUGUCUGCCUAUAACUUGUUUUGCGCAGAGCUGCUGAAGGGGAAAUUCACCCCCAGACGUGGCGAGGGUCGGCCGGGCCCCAGUGCAGCUCCAGUCCCCCCAAGAAGUGGCAUGGGCCACAGUGGACCUCCAGUCCCCCCAAGAAACGGCGAGGUCCAGCCUGGCCCCAGUGGAACUCCACUCCCAUCCAGACAUGGCGAGGGCCAGCCGAGCCACAGUGGACCUCCAGUCCUCCCAAGAAACGGCGAGGUCCAGCCUGGCCCCAGUGGAACUCCACUCCCAUCCAGACAUGGCGAGGGCCAGUCGGGCUCCAGUGAACCUCCAGUGCCCCUCAGACGUGGUGAGGAACAGACUGGCCUCAGCGGACCUCCGGGGCCCCCCAGACCCCUUGUUGCAUCGUCACCUGAUCAGCCGACCUUUGUGUUUUUUUCUGGGUAUCCUGCCUUGGAGACUUUUCUGGUGGGUCCACUUCUCUUCACUCCACUGAAAACCAAAAUUCUAUAUAUUUCCUCAUCAUCCUUGCUGGUUCAGCUAGUAGUCCACUACACCUGUCACUCGUAUAAAAAACCCUGAACCCAUUACAGAUGUUUGUAUUCAAGACCAAACCUUGACUGAAGUUGCCCACAGCGUCCGAAUCGCCAAGUGGAGCGCAAUUUGCACUUGAAGUCCAUUUGCGUGUAAAGAAUUUGCUAAUGUCGAGCUGAUCACAUUCCUAGCUGUAUUUUGUCUAACCUAGGAAUUGACAUGUUCCUUUCUAGCUAUUUUGUCCUUUACGACAUCUUUCAGAAGUUUAUAUUUCUUUAUUGGCCCUUCUUUUACCAAGCAAGUUGACUGAGAACCCAAACUGUUUUACAGCAACAAACUUGGGACAAUUUGCAUGCAUGGGAAGGUGAGGGGUAGAAUGGGCCAAAAUGAAGUGUACAAAAAUCAAGAUGUUUUUUGUGGGGUAGGGUCUCUACCUGUACCCCCCCGGGCCCCCAGGUCCCGCAGGUGCUGGGUCAGUGGGACCCAUAACUGACACUCUUGGCCAUGCUGGUGUCGGAUGUGAGUGGUAAAAAUGUGGUUGUUUGCUUUGUUUCAUAAUGGUGCGGAUUGAGUCACAAAAAUAUGUUGAAAUUAAGUGUCCAGUAUAUUGAAAUGAAAUGCUUCCAUCUCAUGAGGAUAAGUUGUGAGACAGAAAGAUGAAUGAAAGUAAAAUAAAUAGUUUUGUUUAUCUGUA